rnacentral:tRNA from 1 species
GAGGAUUUAGCUUAAUUAAAGUGAUUGNUUUGCGUUCAGUUGAUGUAAGAUAUANU